GAACCUUACCUAAGCUUGACAUCCCAAUGACAUCUCCUUAAUCGGAGAGUUCUCUUCGGGGACAUUGGUGACAGGUGGUGCAUGGUUGUCGUCAGCUCGUGUCGUGAGAUGUUGGGUUAAGUCCCUCAACGAGCGCAACCCUUGUCUUUAGUUGCCAUCAUUAAGUUGGGCACUCUAGAGAGACUGCCAGGGAUAACCUGGAGGAAGGUGGGGAUGACGUCAAAUCAUCAUGCCCCUUAUGCUUAGGGCUACACACGUGCUACAAUGGGUAGUACAGAGGGUUGCCAAGCCGUAAGGUGGAGCUAAUCCCUUAAAGCUACUCUCAGUUCGGAUUGUAGGCUGAAACUCGCCUACAUGAAGCUGGAGUUACUAGUAAUCGCAGAUCAGAAUGCUGCGGUGAAUGCGUUCCCGGGUCUUGUACACACCGCCCGUCACACCACGGGAGUUGGAGACGCCCGAAGCCGAUUAUCUAACCUUUUGGAAGAAGUCGUCGAAGGUGGAAUCAAUAACUGGGGUGAAGUCGUAACAAGGUAGCCGUAUCGGAAGGUGCGGCUGGAUCACCUCCUUUCUAAGGA
rnacentral:rRNA from 1 species